rnacentral:rRNA from 1 species
AACGAACGCUGGCGGCGUGCCUAACACAUGCAAGUCGAACGUGAAAGUCCUUCGGGAUGAGUAAAGUGGCGCACGGGUGAGUAACACGUAGGUGACCUGCCUUUUAGAGGGGAAUAACCAGAAGAAAUUUUGGCUAAUGCCGCAUACGAAGCACGGUUUUAAGACUGUGUUUGAAAGAAUGCCUCUGCAUAUGCAUUCACUAAAAGAUGGGCCUGCGGAACAUUAGCUAGUUGGUGGGGUAAAGGCUUACCAAGGCAACGAUGUUUAUCCGGUCUGAGAGGAUGAUCGGACACACUGGAACUGAGACACGGUCCAGACUCCUACGGGAGGCAGCAGUGGGGAAUAUUGCGCAAUGGGGGAAACCCUGACUCAGCAACGCCGCGUGAGUGAAGAAGGACUUCGGGUUGUAAAGCACUUUCGAUAGGGAAGAAGGCUCUGUGGCUAAUAUCCAUGGGGAUUGACGUUACCUAGAGAAGAAGCACCGGCUAACUCUGUGCCAGCCGCCGCAGUAA